rnacentral:lncRNA from 1 species
GGCGGGGGCCGAGGGGAGAGGCGCCUGGCAGAUGGGGGGGGGGGGGGGGGGCGGGGGCGAGAUCUCAGCCAAGCGCAGGGAACGGACCGUCCCGGGCUGGGAAAGGGAGAGGCUGCGAGCCACAGGUGGGCAAUCCCGCCAAACUCGCGCUCCUGCUGCGAGGGGCUUCUCGGUCCCUAGCUCCCCUCGGUCUCGGGGACCCCGGUGCAGGCAAGGAACGGAUCGCCCCAAAGAGGAGCCCGGGUUCGGGCGGCUGCUGCUCAGGGCAGGCACGGAACCGGUGGCGCUCCCCGGCUAGCAGAAGCGGCGCGCGGGACCGGCUCCUGUCCAGGCGCCCGAGCGGCACCGACGGCGACUGUCCAGGCGGGCGGGCAGCGGAGGCUGCUUUGGAGACUAGGGUCUCACAGGGGCUGGACUGUGUCCACACAGCCACGGCAGCAUCACGCCCCCCCUCCGAUCCCCGCCGGCUUCCCGGUGCCUCCCGCCUGAGGGGCUGCAGUCCGCGGAGCCUGCCAGCCCGCCUCCCCGCCUCGCCCGCCGCCCGCUGCGCCCGAUCUACUCACUGACCAGGAGCCGCUGCCCCCGUCAGGGGGGAUCCCGAUCGCUGUCAACGUUCUCCCGCCUCCUGGAGUCACACCAAGCGCCCCUGCCCCCAACUCUGCGGGUCCCAGGCGGGAGGCCGGCACUGGCCUCGGCCCGGCUCUUCCCCGGCCGCCAGCCCCUCCCCCUGCCGGCCUCAGGCCCUCCACUCCGGGCCAGCCAGUGCUCGCGCUCCUCGCCCCUCUUUAAAGUGGUGGCUCAGCCUUCGCCCCGCUUCAGUGUAGCCCGAGAUCACAGGGACCGAGGGAACAGAGGUUAGAGACCCUGCCUUGACCGUCAGGGGAGGGGAAAGAGACCUCAGAGAGACAGAGGGACACCUACGGAGAGACAAGCACGGACCCAGAGGGAGACUGAGAUCGAGAGAGAAGCUCCUGACCUUUUCAGUAGUCCGGGAGAGAAAUGAGGAAGUUCUGUGAAUGCAGCCUGUCCCCAAGCCCUUUCGCUAGCACCCUCCAACUAUGGCCACGUUGGGAGCCCCCCUUCCCCACCCUCAUCCCCUACCAGUGAAAAAAGGGUAUCAGUCAUAUAGCCUUGUUCUUGUAGCAGGUCCCCCUGCCUCUUAAUUGACAAUCUCCAUCAAAAGCUUUUAGGGGACCCCUUGGAGCAGAUCAAGGAGAAAAGCUAUUAGUUUCCCUAACUGAGCAAUCUGGUGAAGUGGAAAAGGAGGAGAGUUGGAAGCUUGGGAUGGCAACCUUGCAUUUUCUUCCUUCCUUCCUUCCUUCCUUCCUUCCUUCCUUCCUUCAAUAUCAAUGCCGAUAUGACAAUUCAGAAGAAACACAAAGUCUUCUCCAUCCCCCUCAAGAAUCUUGGAUCUAAUUGCUUUGGGAGCUCCCUUCAAUAAUAAGGACCCCAACUGAUGAAUGGUUUCUCACCCUCUUCACUCUUCUCCAUGUUCUCCCCUGGGUGGCCCUCUCAAGUCCUGCCAGUCUCCUUCCUAAAGUCUUCUUGAAAAUCAGAGUUCAAAGUAAAUAGAGGGUGAAGGGACCUAACAGAUGGUAAAACUUCAGGCUAAAGAGAUCCCAUGCCUCAUCCAGGGACCCACAAGUCCUAAGCAAGGACUGGCAUCUAACCCCCAGGGCUGCUGAGACUUUAGGUUCACUGACUUUUCCAUUCAAAUAUGGUGCUCAUUUAAGGCUUCUGUUUCCUCUGGAAACUGGAUAAAUUUCUGGAAAAUGAAGGGGUGCAGCUCUGUGAUCACCGAGGACCCCUUGGAGCUCUCUAAAGCCCCUGGCUUUAUGACCAGCAGUUUCCAUACUGGUAUUUGGAGAGUAGGUGAGAAAACAGAAGCCAGAAGAUGUUUGGCAACAGGUCCCUCAUGAGCUGUCACAAAGGGGUUACAGUGAAACAGCAGAGUACAAAUUGCUUGAGGCCAAAAGCUAUUUACCAUUUCUCCCCUGAUUUUUUAAUGACUAAUAACGUGCCUGUCACACAGACACAGAUGCUUUGUCCCGGCUCUUGGGCAGACUUAAUAACCAUCCAAAAGAGGAAAGCCUUCGUCCUGCUCUUACAAGGCAGCAUGCACACUUUCCAGAGAUCGCUUUGCAGACCUUAGGAAUGCAGCCACCCUUGAGAUUCUGCAGUGCUACAAUUAGGAAAAAGCAUUGGAAUUCAUAAUUCCCAGGAGGACCAUGGGUCUCUAAACAGGCUCAGCAAUCAAGACAAACACAAGAUUGGAGCGGAGUAACUGAGUAUUGUAGGGGAAUAAAAGGAGGUUUAUGGAUCCAUUUCACGUCAUUCUUCAAUAUUAGAAGAAUAUUGAUCCACUGUAUCCUGAAAUGAAGCAAUGUGUUCUUCUCCAUUCAUAUCCACAACAUCCACACAAACUAAAUUCUUUUCUCAUCUACGCUACUCAGAACAUUUCCAGGGUCAUUCCUUCCUGUGACAUCUAUUUUCUCAGUCCCUCAAAAGGGUCCCUCAAAUAUUGCUAGAGCUCAUUUUGCCUGUAACUUUUCUCCUUAAUCCAUUAUCUGGACUAAUCUAUAUGCUUGUCCCAAUUGCUUUCUCCUUCCUCACAUAUCCUUGAGGGCAGAGACUGCUAUUGUUUUAUUUUCUGGGGGAUGGAUCUCUGAAAGUAGAUUAAAAGUCAUGGUAGAUUGGGUCAUGCCCAAUGGCAGGGAGAGUUAUGUGCCUAUCAAUGAUUGUACAAAGGCAGGAUGUGAGCCCCUCUGUCGACUGGGGCAUGUUACAUGUCGCCUUGUCCAUAGUAAAUAUCUAAUAUGUGUUUGCAUUAAAGAUUUCUCAAUUCUAAAGACUAAAACAAGGAACUUCCGUGACUAAUCUCCUUAGAACACUAAGAUUACAAAAGGAAAAAUCCUUCCUGGAUGUUGAUCAUCUUCCAAUAUUACAUGCCAUCAAAGUCUCAGUAAUGUUUGGAUUUCUUAAUUUAGGGCAGUUGAGAUGCAAGUGAAUUCCUCAGAAAACUCUUUGAACUUCUGAAGGAUUUCCCUGAUCACAACAUAGUAAGUCAACCAUGUAAAACAGAGCUUCAGCUGCCCCAUUAUCAGAAUUAUUUUUUUCUUCCACAACAUUCUUCAUAAUGUGAUAAAAGUGUGAAAAUACUCAUUUUCAGAAAAAGAACUGAGAAAAAAAGGUGGGAGGAAGGAAACCUCAGUCUUACUGAGUACAACUUUUGUUUUGAAAAAAAAACAAAACAAAACAACAACUGGGUAUUGUUAAGAGUAUUUUGGACUUGUGUCCAAAUGUACUUUUUGUAUUUACUAGCUUUUGGAGUACAGGCAGGUCACUUCAACCCUCUCUCAAUCUCAGAGGUGUUCAUCUGUAAGAUGAAAAUGGUGAAACCUGUAGAUCACCCUGAUCUACACCCCUGAAUAAGAGAACUGAUACAAGGAUAGAAAUAUCAGUUAUUUUUAUGUAGAACUUGCUUUGUUUGUUCUAGCUCAUUUUCUGUACUAUUGCUCCCAAUAGCCCUAACUAGCCUCUUUAACUUUUCAGUUCAAUCAUUUUCAUAGAUCUCUGCAAACCUUUUCUACUGUUUAUCAAACACUAGGAUUACAAAGAUAAACACAAUAUUGUCCUUGUAGUCAGCUGUUCACUUUUAUGAUGUCAGUCAAAAAUCAAUAAGCACUUAUUAAGCAAGAGAGAGAGAGAGAGACAGAGAGAGAAAGAGACAGAGAGGCAGAAAGACACAGAGACAGAGACAUAAUGGGAGAGAAUGAGAGAGACAAAGGCACCGAGACAAAGAGAAAGGAAGAGAGAACAUAUGGUCAUAUAAAUAUAUUCAAAGAAAAGACAGAUUUUGGGAUAAUCAGAAAAAAGCCUCAUGUAGAAGAUGAAAAUUUGAGAUGAUCUUGGAAGGAAGUGAGGGAAAUCAAGGAGUCUGGAGUGGGAGGAAGCAUUCAAUACAGACAGUCCAUCAAAGUUGGUGAUGGAUUGUGAAAAUGCUUUGACUAAGGUAUUAUUGAUUGCCUGUGCCAACUUCCUUUGUGCAUUUCUUUUUGCGUUCCUCAUCCAUGAGCUGUUGACCUACACAUUGAUGAGGGUUUUUUUUCUUUAAUAAGAAAAAAAAUAUUCCAGUCACAGUGAUAUGUCUUUAAAAAAAUGAUGACCAUGGGAAAUUCAUAAAUGUUGAAAAAGGCUGACUUGUUAGCACAAACCUAAUUUUAAAAUCUCUUUAAUGCUACUGAGCCCUUAGCUUUCCUUUACCAGUAAUUUAGGAAGUUUUCCCACUUGCAGAAACCUAGAGGUUUAUAAAGAAUGUUAAGAUCAUAAGCCCUUUAUAUAGGUUAUAGAGAUUCAUGUUCCUUAAAUAAUAAAAAAAGUCCAAUGUCUUUUUAGACAAGUAAUCUUUCAAAGUUUAUAUAUGACAAUAUAAAGUAUUUACACAACCACAUAUGACACAUAUGAUACUUGAUACAUUCAUUUAUUUAAUAAAUUUAUUUAGCUAAAGUACAUCUGUAAUUCCACAAACAGAGCUUGGUGCAGGGGGAAAAAGUUCACCUUUUUAAUUAAUUUAAAAUGUCAACUUCUCACCUCGUAGCUCUUUCUACUUGGAAAAGUCACAACUUCUCUGAGUUUUAUUAUCUUCACUUUUACCUUCAUUUUCAUCGAUUAAAUGAGGGGAUAGCACUGAGUAGCUUAUAAAGUCCCAUCCAGCUUUCCAUCUAUGAUUGUAUGAAGUGCCAACUGGGUCCUAGAAGUUGAAAAAGAAAGGAAGAAAUGCAAUAGUCCCUGUGCCCCCUCCCCAGCUUACAAUUCACUGGAGACAUUCCAAUCUCUUUGCAUAUAUGAUCUGUUAUAUAUUGUUAUAUAUAUACAUACAUAUAUACAUAUUAUCUGCUCUAUAUUGCUAUAUAAAUUAUAUUGUUAUAUAUAAUAUAUAUUAAGUAGAACAAAUGAAGGAGAAAUUUUAGAGAAAAGGUUUCUCCAAAGAUUCUGUUCAUCUGUUAAAGCCUGCGCAAUGGGAAAAGAGUCAAUUUUAAAUGAGGUUUCAUUGCUUAGAAUGCUUUGUUAUAUAGAGUUGGAUCAUAGCUAAACAUCUACCCACCCAUGACUAUAUUCUCCUGCUCAGGAAAUCCUGAGAAAGUGAAACAUCCUUUUGUUUUAUCCUUCAUGUCCAUAUGUGUGGUCCAAGUUUAUGUUCUGUGUGCCAGGCUGGAUCAUGGAGGGAUAUUCGGGUGCAGAUACAUAGUUCAAGAUGGGCAGUGUUCCAAAAAAGGAGAUAAUUCGGAGGCAAAAUAUGGCUGUGGGAAAAAGCCCAGGGUUCAGGAGCAGUGAGGACACUGUAUGACUAGAGAAGAAGGGAUAUACUGGCAAAUAGUCAGAGAUAUAAGAGGACAUCCAUCAGUAUCACCCUUUGAGAUCCAAGAUGACAGUAUUGGACUUGACAAGAUUAGAGUUGGACUUUUAGCUUCUAUUAGGGCAGAAAGAUGACAAAUGAAGUGUCUCAUUUUAGCAGAAAAAUGGGCAGGACUUGGUGUCCCAUUGGAGAUAAGCAAUGAAGGAGCCAUAAUCAAAAAUAACUGUGUAGGUUUUGCCUGAAGAUGAAUACUAUGAUUUUUCAGAAAUCAGAGGGGAAAUCAGUAUAGAUUUAUAUUUAGGGGAAAAUGGUAGCAUCAUAAAGAAAGCAUCCUUGGACUCUUCUUCCAAAUUUCUUUUAAGAGGAUCUUAUAUAUUCAACAGUCUGGCAGAGACUAAGUAUCUAAUUGAAAGCAGACUUGAGGAGAGCCCAGUCUUAGCUAGAUGUAUGGUCAGCACAAAGUGGCUGCUUUUCCUCCCUCCCUCCCUUUCUUUCUCCCUCCCUCCCUCUUUUUUUCCCUCCCUCCCUUCCUUCUCUUCCUCCCUCCCUCCCUCCCUCCUUCCCUCCCUCCCUCCCUCCCUCCCUCCCUUCCUCCUUCCUUCCUUCCUUCCUUCCUUCCUUCCUUCCUUCCUUCCUCCCUUCCUUCCUUCCUUCCUUCCUUCCUUCCUUUCUUCCUUCCCUCCUUCCUUCCUUCCUUCUUUUCCAUCCUUCUCUCUCUCUCUCUCUCUCUCUCUCUCUCUCUCUCUCUCUCUCUCCCUCCCUCCCUCCCUUCCUUUCUUUGUCUGUUUCUUUUUAAGAAGUUGAGUUUAGAAUAAAUUGCUACCAUUAAUAAGAUCACAGAAUCAUAUCUUUGAGUUGGAAGAGACCUCAGGUCAACCCCUAUGAAUUAAUUUCUUUAUAUGAGUCCCAGAAAAAUGAACUAUAUUUUUAAUGUAAAAUAUUUUAAUUAUAUUUUAUUUUUUUUCAAAAACAUGCAAAGAUAAUUUUCAACACAAGGUAAUAUCUUAUCCAAAAUUCCAGCAAUGAUGGGAAGAGUUGAAAUCCUCCAGCCUCUGUUUCUGAAUCUGAGAUGAUACUGGUAUCUAAGCUCUACAUCAAAAGAAGUUAAACAAUCUAAGAGGAAAAUGGGGAGGGAGUCAAUUCCAGGCACAUGGAGAGGUUGUGAAAAGAUACAGACAAAAAGAUAUUUUUAAUUCAAAAUCAAAAUUGUUAGCGAUAUAUUUUAAAUUACCAGGUUCAUUCAAUUAGCAAGAAAUCUAUCUUUUUCCACUCAGCCUAUGGAAGAAAUGCUCAUUUUAUGUAAUUAUUUGAUGCUAAAUUAAAUCCAUAAAGCCCAGAGAUAUAGAACUUUUAAAAAUGGAAAAUUCCCAUUCUUGGUCAAGAUACAAACUAUGAAUGACUUUCUUGUAUAUCCCAACUUUGUUCUUCAACUACACAUAGAAUCAUUAAAUUCCAUUUUUAUGUGGGAAGAGAAAUUAUGAUUAAUAUGAAUAAUUAAAAACAUUUAAAUUAUAUUUGGUUCAGGGAUAUAAUCAAUCAGUGUGGUUUUAUUAAGUACUCAUCAUUUUCCAGACAUUUUGUUGAUAAUGGAGAUUCAAAGGGGAAAAAAAAAAAAGACAGUCCUUGUCCUUAAGGAGUUUACAUUGUAAUGGGCAUGUAGAGUUUUAGGCUUGAAGUCAGAAAGUCAAUGCCAGUUCAUACACCUAUUACAUGUGUGACCUUGAACAAGCCACUUAACUUCUGCUUACCUCAAUCUCUUCAUCUGUAAAUUGGGAAUAAUAAUAGCAACCAUCUCAUAAAAUUGUUAUAAGGACUAAAUACUUAAAACACUCUAUAAAUAUAUUAUUAUUGUUAUUAUUAUCCUAUGAAUACAUACAUAUGUAUUUCAUUCCAAUUAUGCCUAUUUCUGGAUCCUUCCUGACUUGUUCCUAAUUUUUUUAAGUUGAAGAUCUAGAAACAUAAAUGUCACUUCAGAAGAUGGAUUCAAGAAAAGCCUUUGGACCUGACCUAUUAACCACAAAAGAAACUCUUACUGGAGGCAGCCCAAGUUUAAAAUCAUUUGAAGAUUGGUUCACAAAAUCUCUCAGAGGGCAAGAUAAAUACUUGCUAAACUGAAUCAAAUUCCAAAAGAUUAGAAAAGGUCACAAUGUGGGGAGAGGGCUAGGGAGUUUACAAAAAAUUUAGACCCAGAAAACCAUCCAUUGACAUAUAUGCUUUUCUUAGAACAAAUCCACUUAUUCAUAUAUAAUCAGGGAAUGAUGAAUCAACCAUCCCAAAUUGCUUCUUAAAACAAAAUCCAUCUUUUAAUUACAAUAUUCUCCUGGCGUUGUUGUAUUUUUGUGCAUCAUGGGCUCUUGAAGUUUCUUUAGGACUGAAUGGUUUGAAUGGGUAUUGGGGUGUGUGUCGGGGGGAGAGGUGAUAGUUGUUGGAGCAGGCUACAACACAUUACCAUGGAGUAAUGGAAUUGUGGCAAGGCAACUAAAAAGCCAAUAGGUUUUUGAGUGGGUAUAAGAUAUAACCAAUGGAGCCCUUAUGUGUUUUGUUAUUGCCCUUUUGAUGUCAAGAAAAAUGCAAGUGAGAGAUAAUUUUAGGUAGAUCUCCUUUGGUGAAUUUUUGGUAAGAACAAGGAAUUGAAAAAAAAUGCAGGAAGACAGGAAUAUAUGGCUUGUCAUCUGUAUUGUUGAUGGAAAUGUCCACAGGAGGCAGCAGGAUUCUAUGAGAACAGUGACUUUGUGGUUAAAGGGCCUACCUUAAAAAAAACUAACUCUGCCAAUGAUUGUAAUUACGUCUUCACCUCAGUUUCCUUAACUGAAAAAUAUUUAGGUUGAAUUAGAUAAUCUCUGAAGGCAACUCUAACUCUAAAAUCUCUGAUUCCAUGAAAUCCCAUAUCUCUUAGAGCAUUUGAUUAUGGCUUCAAUCAAGCUAAUUAGCUUUAAUUCUUUUUCAGGCAAUACGGAC